GAAACGAAAUCAGUAUCACAGUAAGAGUUUAUUUACAAGUGAGUCACGUUGCAUGCACACAGCAUCCGUUCACAUUUGCCGGAUGCCUGAAGCAGCGGAGCUUGUUACCGAAUAGUCCAGGGCUCUGGCCCCACACAGCCCUGACGCUGAGCUCCCGGAGAUCCCGGGAGAAACCGACACCUGCUCGGAGCUCUCUGAGAGUCCUUCCUGCCCCUGUGCUAAUCCCCUGACCGAGAGGCUCCCUGUCACACCUGCCUCGCCUGCAGCUUUUGCUGUCUCUGUUGCCCGAGGAAGCUGCAGGAACCCAGGGCAGCCCUGCCUCCCGUCUGCACAGCGGGGACGAUUGCUCACACUGACGUCGCUGCACUUGGCAUUCACCCCACGCCGCGGCUACAUCAGCGAGCCGCGGAACCGCAUCUCCAGGUCAACUAGACACCCCGAUUAGCAAGAAUACAGAACUUGAACAGGGUUAGCAACCGUGACUGUCCUUUAUCCAGGUACCCAAACACAGAGAUUCCAGCAAUGUCCUGGAAGCCGGACCCCGGCAGCACUGGCACAGAACUAGGGACCGGAGCAAAACUGUCUAUUGUUUCAAUUGUCGGAGUGAUGAUGCCUCUUUGGGGCUUUGUUCUCUAGUUAGGAUUUGUCACUCUCUAUUUUUUUUGUGAAAAUAAGGACAUACAUCAACUCUGAAAGUUCCUGACAAACUCCGAACACCUUUGCCUGCAAUGUUCCGUUGCUUUGAGGGUACGAGGAGGAGAAUGCAUGCGGAAGAAAGCUCAAAACCCUGCAACAUCCUGGGACAUGUCGUAGGGAUGAUGACUCCACAUCCAGACAAAGCCACCAGGAGCAUCAAUCGUCCCCAGAUCGUCUGGGGUCCAAUCAUCAGAAACACUGUUUUCAGAGAGAAAAAUGACAAAACGAAAGAAAACUUGUAUCCACUGGAUCACUCAUAACAAACUGGCUAAUCGGUGUCAUCAAUUCAAACAUUUAAGGUAGUUAAGGUAGGUGAAUCUUAGCUAAGUCUUAACUAGUUAAGAUGAGUUACUGCAUAAGAAAAUCAAAACACCCUAAAUUAUACAGCUCUUGUAUAAAGAACUUGAUAGACAUCUCCUAAAACUUGGUGACGAUAUUAAAAGGGUAUCCUAGGGCAUUGCCAACCAUCACUUCUAAAGCUAAAAGCAGUGUUAAAAAGAAUAAGACAAAAAAUUUUAAUCAACCAUCUCAGGAAAAAAAUGAACAUAUCUUUUUUUGUUUUCUUUGCGGAGAGUGAUAUAAUGAAAUCAUUGUCACUUGAAGAGAGAAGACCAACAAGCAUGUACCAAAGGGAAAUACAUUAGAAAGGUUGUCAGGCAGUUAGUUAAUAGAUAUCUUAUGGUAUUUCCCCCAAAUUUGUAUUGUUUGUAGUAUCUGUUGGCUUUUUGGGUGUAUAAUUUGUUGUGACUUCUAUUCUCAUUCUAAAUAGAUAUUCUCUUUUUUAAGAGGAUGUCAAAACUGUAGAAACUUCAAGCCCCAUAAAAUCUAGGCCCACCUCUAGUUUUCAACCUGUUAUUUUGCUACGUAAUAACAUUAGGAACUAAAUCAAAGUCAACCAAAGUGGCCUACUAUCUACCUGAAUCAUCAGUUCAUAAACUAACAUGUAUUUUAGCCUGAAAAAUAGGAAAAAAAUUGUACUGGAAUAAGAGACACCUUAAUAUAAGAUUCAUGAAAACAAAAUGUAUGUUGCCCUCACUUUCCCUUUAUUUCUCUGGGGAACUUGGGACAGAGAUGAUGUCUCCCCAUUUUUUAGUCAUUGGUUGCCCCAUUGGCAGCAGGUGGGCUCUGACGUCCCCACCCAACACUAGGGUGGCCUGUCCACGUGCCUCCCAGCUGCACACCCAGCACCCCACAGGCCUGAGGGCCAGCAGCACCUCCCUCCCUGGGACUGGCCUCACA